UUGGAUUUGAAGAUAGUGAUGAGUUCAAUGUCCUCAAAACUCUUAAAGCUUUCAUAUCAAGAUUUCACAAAUCUUUCAACUCUGAGCUUAUGCAAAAUCCAAAUGCAAGAAAAACAUGAAGAUUUUAAGAACCCAGAAUCAGCUUUUGCACUUGCUUUAUACUGCUAUUGAGAAGGAGAUGCUGUAAGAACUGUAAAAUGG
rnacentral:misc_RNA from 1 species